rnacentral:lncRNA from 1 species
CGAGAGAACCCCACUCGCAUAGUAGCUUCCACUGGACUCUUCGAUACGGGUUGCAAGUUUCUGUGUGCCUUCUCCAACCCAUGGAAAACUCCACUGGGCCAUUCACGUGUAAGUACGUCACCCCAGCGCCACCUCAGUACUGAUGGAAAGAAAGCAAAUCCAUACAGAGCCAUCCAGAUGUGGAGCAUGCGGUCCCCUGUUUUAAUCGACGUCCGCAUGUUUCGAAUCUGGACAAUUCGGGUGGAGUCCAAGCUCCUUUACCACCAAACUACCACCUUGGUGGCUCCAUUAACCUUGUUCUCUCUUGGAUCUUCCAACCAAUACCACUACGAUGCCAAUGGGUUGUGAGAAUCAACUCGUUUUACUUUUUUGAUCCAGAUAAAUUUAGGCCAUCCCAUACUUGACUCAAACCUAAUUGGUGUGAGGGUGGCAAGUUGCUUCACCUAUCAAUAUCCGGCCUGACUUGAUCCUAUUAGGGUACCUAGCAUGUAGCGGAUA